UCGGGAAUUUUGGGCAAUGGGCGAAAGCCUGACCCAGCAACGCCGCGUGAAGGAUGAAGUAUUUCGGUAUGUAAACUUCGAAAGAAUAGGAAGAAUAAAUGACGGUACUAUUUAUAAGGUCCGGCUAACUACGUGCCAGCAGCCGCGGUAAUACGUAGGGACCAAGCGUUGUUCGGAUUUACUGGGCGUAAAGGGCGCGUAGGCGGCUUUGUAAGUCACUUGUGAAAUCUCCGGGCUUAACUCGGAACGGCCAAGUGAUACUGCAAAGCUAGAGUGCAGAAGGGGCAAUCGGAAUUCUUGGUGUAGCGGUGAAAUGCGUAGAUAUCAAGAGGAACACCUGAGGUGAAGACGGGUUGCUGGGCUGACACUGACGCUGAGGCGCGAAAGCCAGGGGAGCAAACGGGAUUAGAUACCCAAGUAGUCCCUGAGCGGGCUGGCAAGGCGCAU
rnacentral:rRNA from 1 species